rnacentral:lncRNA from 1 species
GGAUGGCGGUUGGAGGAGGAGGAAAGUGGGUCUGUUUCGUCUGCUUCGCUUGACAAAAUUGUAGGGCAGCUCGGUGUUUGAUAUUGAUCGCUUAAUUUUGUUGUGUUUUUGUUUUUGGCUUUGGGAUUACUGAAUUUCUCAAGAUCAAAUGGGAUGUCCAAAAGAAAGAUAUGAAGAACUUAAGCUACACGAGUCCUUAACAAAUCAAAGCUGCUCUCGUUACCCAUUGGCCUGCAAGGAGCUGGCAUUUAUCCUCAGAAAAGCCUACUCUAAAGCCCCAAAAAAUCUGCAAUCUUUGCUCUUCCAGGACACGCUCGAUGCCUUCCGCCUCCUCCCACAGUAAUUAAAUCUCCUUGCACUAUUAUUACCUUUUGUUUCCCCAUUACCUACUGGAACAUUCAACUCAGUUUUCGUCUCUUCUUUUGUGCUUUUGCUAUUCCAGAUUCUGUUUUGGUUUUGUUAGUGAUUUGAAUUGAUUGCUACUUGUACCAGAUAUAAAUUGGGCCCUUUUUCAAAUUUUGA